rnacentral:rRNA from 1 species
AGAGUUUGAUCCUGGCUCAGAACGAACGCUGGCGGCAUGCCUAACACAUGCAAGUCGAACGAAGCCUUCGGGCUUAGUGGCGCACGGGUGCGUAACGCGUGGGAAUCUGCCCUUGGGUUCGGAAUAACAGUUAGAAAUGACUGCUAAUACCGGAUGAUGUCUUCGGACCAAAGAUUUAUCGCCCAAGGAUGAGCCCGCGUAGGAUUAGGUAGUUGGUGGGGUAAUGGCCCACCAAGCCGACGAUCCUUAGCUGGUCUGAGAGGAUGAUCAGCCACACUGGGACUGAGACACGGCCCAGACUCCUACGGGAGGCAGCAGUGGGGAAUAUUGGACAAUGGGCGAAAGCCUGAUCCAGCAGUGCCGCGUGAGUGAUGAAGGCCUUAGGGUUGUAAAGCUCUUUUACCAGGGAUGAUAAUGACAGUACCUGGAGAAUAAGCUCCGGCUAACUCCGUG